CAGAAGAGGACAUUAUCGACAUAAAUGUUGGCCUAACAUACAACCACAGUACAACAGCUUACUAAAUCGCACCAAGCACUUUCUAUAGAUGACCGCCGUGGAAGACCAGUACAGACGUAAACACGUCAAAAAUCAGAGGCAUCCUAGCAGCUGUCUCGGCAGAGGAGUUGCCACACUUUGUGAGGAGACUGUUGGUGUCAAUAUUGCCCCGGCAAUGGCAAGGAAAAUCACUAGAUGUGGUGUACAAAAUCCAUGGUCCCAUCACACCAUCACCGCACACCGCUAGAGACCUCACCUUAAGAUGCACCUCGGCACAAGAUAAGGGGCAUAUAAUGGCGGCCCUAAAAGGCAAAAUGACACUAUCAUUCCAAGAAG